GUUCGCGGACGCGAGAGGGCUGUGCUGGCUUCCGAGGAAAGCUGCUCUCGUGAAAGUGUUCCAGGUAGGAUGAAGUAAACACAAGGCUGUCUCUCUCCCUCCCUGGGUAUAAAACCUGGACAGAGUACAUGUUGCAGCUAUCUGAAGUCUCUGAACAGGCUGCAUCCCACCCAGCGGCACUUCAGGACUCUUGAUACUUGUCACUCUUACCUGUCACUUUUUAAACCAAAUCUGUGCGGUUGGGGGUACAACAUGCUCUCGAGGACAUAGCAGCUGUCACGUUUGGGACCAGUCAAAAAGUCUGGCCCCAGGCCCCCUGCACCCCAAAGAUACCCCAUGUCCGGGACCUGCUCAUCACCCCAUCCAGGCCCUGGCCUCUUCAGAGGAAGAACUGGGCUGGCCAGUUGGAUCAGAAUGUAGAGCCACCAACCUUCUAAUAACUGUCUUGGUCUCUGGGUCAGCUGUGACAGCCUGAAUAUAGGGAAUGGGUAAAGCUGGAGCCCAGGGGAAGGGACAGAGCAGGACCUCUGAGACCUGACCUUACAGAAUGUUUCAAGGGCACUGGAUGGGCCAAGCCAUGGCAUCUGUGAUGAAAGAUGGGCAUCUGAGAGACAACCUCACUCAGAGGCUGCAUGAAGAGGAAGAGGAAGGCUCUUAGCAGUGUACAAGGGGGGCGAGGGGCAGGGAGGAGCUUGUGUUUCUUUACACAGCUCCUUCUAAGCACUUCAUAUGCACUAUGCCAGUUAAUCCUCACUAAACCUGUGACAUGGGGUAGGUCACCUAUUUUCCAGAGGGGUAAAUUGAGGCACAGAGCAGUUAAACCUCUAUGCUGAAGGUCGUGGUCCUGGCAAGUGAUAGGGCUGAGUAAGCCUU